UCCCCAGGGCUCCGUCCAGGAACCUACCCAUAAGGCCAGGUGCAGCCCCUCUGCGGUCCGGCUCAGGUGUGAGCCCCGGCCCUGAAGCUCUCGUGCAAGGCUGGUGAUGAGGACGCUUCUUCAAAAGGACAGCAGUGCCUUCGUCCCCAGCAAGACACGUGCGGCUCAAGACGACUUCACCUCUCCUGGAGCCUCCGGGCUGAGCCUGCAGGAGCAGCCUCAGCCAUUUCAAGCUCCGUCCUCCAGCGCAGAGGCAACUACCCCCAACACGGGACACAGUCUCCUUCCACGGCCCUCCACUAGGUGGGUGGGAGCAUCGGAUACAGAAACACACUCUGGACCCACCCCUGAGGGAGCUGACAGAUUCCACUGGACUUGGGGAGAUAAGAAAAUAUCACUGAAAGCCGGGCAUGGUGGCAUAUGCCUGUAAUCCCAGCACUCUCGGAGGCCGAGGCAGGAGGAUCACAAGUUGUAGCCUGGCCUGGGCAACUGAGCCACUCAGGAAGCCCCUGUCCCUAAAUUUAAAAAAAAAAAAAAAAA